CAGGUCUAUGAUUCUCUCUUGUCCUCUCCCAUUUCCCUGUAUCUCUGGACUGACUGGAUUCCUGUUUAAAAAGAAAAAUUAUGCACACAAAGAGACACUUAAACAAUCUUUACAUUAAAAAAUUUCGUUGAGGAAAGAGAUUUUAUCAAUGUUGUUUCUAUGGGGGGGAGGGGGGUGAUGGGUGGAGGAACUGAUGCACGAAACUUCUUCAGCAGGAGGUUUUGUGUUUACU
rnacentral:lncRNA from 1 species